UACGAAGGGUGCAAGCGUUACUCGGAAUUACUGGGCGUAAAGCGUGCGUAGGUGGUUUGUUAAGUCUGCUGUGAAAGCCCCGGGCUCAACCUGGGAAUGGCAGUGGAUACUGGCAAGCUAGAGUGCGGUAGAGGGAUGUGGAAUUCCCGGUGUAGCGGUGAAAUGCGUAGAGAUCGGGAGGAACACCAGUGGCGAAGGCGGCCUGCUGGGCAGUUGCUGACACUGAGGCACGAAAGCGUGGGGAGCAAACAGG
rnacentral:rRNA from 1 species